UUGGAAGUAAAAAGUCGUAACAAGGUUUCCGUAGGUGAACCUGCGGAAGGAUCAUUACCGAGUGCGGGCCCUCGCGGCCCAACCUCCCACCCUUGUCUCUAUACACCUGUUGCUUUGGCGGGCCCACCGGGGCCACCUGGUCGCCGGGGGACGCACGUCUCCGGGCCCGCGCCCGCCGAAGCGCUCUGUGAACCCUGAUGAAGAUGGGCUGUCUGAGUACUGUGAAAAUUGUCAAAACUUUCAACAAUGGAUCUCUUGGUUCCGGCAUCGAUGAAGAACGCAGCGAAAUGCGAUAAGUAAUGUGAAUUGCAGAAUUCCGUGAAUCAUCGAAUCUUUGAACGCACAUUGCGCCCCCUGGCAUUCCGGGGGGCAUGCCUGUCCGAGCGUCAUUUCUGCCCUCAAGCACGGCUUGUGUGUUGGGUGUGGUCCCCCCGGGGACCUGCCCGAAAGGCAGCGGCGACGUCCGUCUGGUCCUCGAGCGUAUGGGGCUCUGUCACUCGCUCGGGAAGGACCUGCGGGGGUUGGUCACCACCAUGUUUUACCACGGUUGACCUCGGAUCAG
rnacentral:rRNA from 1 species